CAGGAGGUUGACUAAGAUAAUGAUAGUCCUGAUGAGGACAGUUAUGAUGAGUUGUGAUAUUGAUUGUAUUCUUUGCAUUCAUUCCUUCUUGCGCAUCGCCUAUCACCAGUAUGCACCUAUAUUUAUCAGUCGGUAUGGGAUGAUUGCAUUUAUAUGUAUGAAGAAUAUACCUUUUGUUAUUGUAUGUUGAUUGGACCUUCCAACCCUUGGGCGGUGGGCGUACGCAUAGGC
rnacentral:lncRNA from 1 species